rnacentral:rRNA from 1 species
AUACGUAGGGGGCGAGCGUUGUCCGGAAUGAUUGGGCGUAAAGGGCGCGUAGGCGGCCUGUUAAGUCUGGAGUGAAAGUCCUGUUUUCAAGAUGGGAAUUGCUUUGGAUACUGGGGGGCUUGAGUGCAGGAGAGGUUAUCGGAAUUCCCGGUGUAGCGGUGAAAUGCGUAGAGAUCGGGAGGAACACCAGUGGCGAAGGCGGGUAACUGGACUGCAACUGACGCUGAGGCGCGAAAGUGUGGGGAGCAAACAGGAUUAGAUACCCUGGUAGUCCACACUGUAAACGAUGAAUGCUAGGUGUAAGAGGUAUCGACCCCUUUUGUGCCGGAGUCAACACAAUAAGCAUUCCGCCUGGGGAGUACGGCCGCAAGGUUGAAACUCAAAUGAAUUGACGGGG